UACGUAGGGGGCAAGCGUUGUCCGGAUUUAUUGGGCGUAAAGAGCGUGUAGGCGGCUUGGUAGGUCCGCUGUGAAAACUCGAGGCUCAACCUCGAGAGGUCGGUGGAAACCGUCUGGCUAGAGUCCGGAAGAGGAGAGUGGAAUUCCCGGUGUAGCGGUGAAAUGCGCAGAUAUCGGGAAGAACACCCGUGGCGAAGGCGGCUCUCUGGGACGGUACUGACGCUGAGACGCGAAAGCGUGGGGAGCGAACAGG
rnacentral:rRNA from 1 species